rnacentral:rRNA from 1 species
UCAAUCUCGUGUGGCUAAGCGCCACUUGUCCCUCUAAGAAGUUGUCGGGGACUCGCGAGGAAUCCCCGAACUAUUUAGUAGGCUAGAGUCUCGUUCGUUAU